GCCGGACGCGGUGGCACAUGUCUGUAGUCCCAGCUACUCGGGAGGCUGAGGUGGGAGGACCGCUUGAGCCCAGGAGUUCUGGGCUGUAGUGCACUAUGCUGAUCGGGUGUCUGCAAUAAGUUCGGCAUCAAUAUGGUGACCUCCCGGGAGCGCAGGACCACCAGGCUGCCUAAGGAGGGGUGAACUGGCCUAGGUCGGAAAUAGAGCAGGUCAAAAAACUCCCAUGCUGAUCAGCAGUGAGAUCGGCUCUGUGAAUAGCCACUGCACUCCAGCGUGGGCAACAUAGCGAGACCCCGUCUCA
rnacentral:SRP_RNA from 1 species